UCCGGUAUAGUGUAGGGGUUAACAUAUCUCGCUUUCAUCGUGGAUCGACAAGCACCGGGAAGCCCGGGUUCGAUUUCCGGUACCGGAA